UACGUAGGGGGCGAGCGUUGUCCGGAUUCAUUGGGCGUAAAGAGCUCGUAGGCGGCUUGCUAAGUCAGGUGUGAAAAUCUCCAGGCUCAACCUGGAGUCGCCACCUGAUACUGGUAUGGCUUGAGUCCGGUAGGGGAUCACGGAAUUCCUGGUGUAGCGGUGAAAUGCGCAGAUAUCAGGAGGAACACCGGUGGCGAAGGCGGGCCUCUGGGCCGAUAUUGACGCUGAGGAGCGAAAGCGUGGGGAGCGAACAGG
rnacentral:rRNA from 1 species